ensembl:lncRNA
CGCCGUCUAUAGAGCCAGACCAAACCAGACCAGACCAGACCAGAUCUGCUCGGGCACUGCAUGAAGCCAAAGUGCAUGCAGCUGGAGGGCUUUGUUUCUCCGUCCCUCCUCCACGACUCCAUCUGAAAGGUCUUCGCAGUCAAGUGAAAAGGAGGCGAAGAAAAAAAAAAUCCUUCAAGUCACAUAAUAGCAUGCUAAUGUGAUUGUCAGGAAAUAAAACUUGAGUAUCGGAAAUUGCGCCAAAAGCUCCACCAUAAAUCGGCCCCAAAAAAGGAAAGAUGCUCCUCGUUUUAUGAAUAGCAAUAAAAAAAAAAAAAUUUUUAAAUAAAA